AAUGAACGCUGGCGGCAGGCCUAACACAUGCAAGUCGAACGGUAACAGGAAGCAGCUUGCCGCUUUGCUGACGAGUGGCGGACGGGUGAGUAAUGUCUGGGAAAUUGCUCGAUGGAGGGGGUUAACUACUGGAAACGGUAGCUAAUACCGCAUAACGAUGCAAGACCAAAGAGGGGGACUUUAGGGCCUUUUUCCAUCGGAUGAGCCCAGAUGGGAUUAGCUAGUAGGUGGGGUAACGGCUCACCUAGGCGACGAUCCCUAGCUGGUCUGAGGGGAUGACCCGCCACAGGGAAACUAGGACACGGUCCAAACUCCUACGGGAGGCAGCGGUGGGAAUCAUUGCACAGGGGGCGCAGGCGUACUGCGGCCAUGCGGCGUGUAUGUGAAAGGCCUUCGGGUUGUAAAGUACUUUCGGCGGGGAGGAAGAAAGUAAAGUUAAUACCUUUGCUCAUUAACGUAACCCGCAAAAAAGACACCGCCUAACUCCGU
rnacentral:rRNA from 1 species